UUUCAAAGUGGAAAGAUGUUCUUAAAGAGAUUGAUUUAAAUCAUUAGUAACCAUCAGACUCCUCUGUAUGACAUCAAUGUAAUUUAACUUAAUCUCCCUUACCAAUUUAAAAGUUUUCAGAAUGUAUUCCAAGGUAAUAUUUCACUUCAAACUCAUUAUACAUGCACUAAUAUAUAUAUAUAUAUUCUCUAUGUGUCAUUUUAAAUAUCUUUGGUAAUUAAAAUAGAAUAGCCAUGUUGAAAUUAAAAGUUUAGACAAACUAUCACCGACUUUAAUAUAUUAGUGACUAAGAAAAAGUAGCUGAAAGCUUUCGAUAUGAAUGAACCUGACAAAAACAUGUCAAAGCAUGUUUAAGAAAUUUGUCUGUGUUACCUAACCUUUCUAUUUUGUGCAGUGAACCCAUGAGAAAAGAGUAUUUUUCAAUAAAGUAGUGUGCCUAGUGUUUUUAAAUGAAAAACAAUAACUUAAAACCUCUCACUUUGGUAAAAGCAGAACAUCAGUCCAAAAUUACACAGAUGCUGAAAUGAAAGACAAGUGAAAUGGGUAAGUUAAUCCCAUCAGUAUUAAAAGCAUUGGGAGAAAAAAUGUCAUCAGAAAAAGAGGUUAUGAAUAAAAAUAGAAGGUAUAUUUCAAAAUAUAAUUACAAUCUGUAAUUCUAUAAAAAUUGCUAGAAUUCAAACAUCUUUUUAAUAUAUUUCUGGUGAAAUCAAAGUCAAAAUAUAAUACUUGGGAUUUCUUCUUCUCCAAAGAUGAAAUUAAACUAAUCAAGUAAUUUGGUCUCUAAAAUACUCUGCAAAUUCCAAUUCACAAGAAAUAUA